rnacentral:tRNA from 1 species
GCUCGAACUGGGAGGGGCGGCCGAAAUCGCCCUUCGCACGGGUGAAUGGUCGCUGAUCGUGCCGACGCUCGUGCC